rnacentral:rRNA from 1 species
UACGGGGGGAGCAAGCGUUGUUCGGAUUUACUGGGCGUAAAGGGCGCGUAGGCGGCCAGCACACGUCAGUUGUGAAAUCUCCGAGCUUAACUCGGAAAGGUCAACUGAUACUGUGCGGCUAGAGUGCAGAAGGGGCAACUGGAAUUCUUGGUGUAGCGGUGAAAUGCGUAGAUAUCAAGAGGAACACCUGCGGCGAAGGCGGGUUGCUGGGCUGACACUGACGCUGAGGCGCGAAAGCCAGGGGAGCAAACGGG